rnacentral:tRNA from 1 species
GGGGCGGUGGCGCAGUUGGCUAGCGCGUAGGUCUCAUAAUCCUGAGGUCGAGAGUUCGAGCCUCUCUCGUCCCA